GAUUUCAUUUUCAAGACAACGCACCCGACAGAAUCCCUUAGGCUUCCAACACACAUGGGUAAAUCUGCUCCUGACUACACAAAGAAAUGUUUGUGAGUGCCCUUUGCCCCACCUGAUUUCCUGAGUGAGUGAAGUUCCUUUACCUGGGAGAAUUUGAAUCAGAAUGUAGAUGAUAGCAAAGUAUAAGAAAAGGAUUCUCUGCAUGGCUGCAGGUAGACACAGGGCUGAUGUGAAGAGGAAUCAGCAGAACAGAUGAAGACUAAGCUCCCUGGGAAUUUUUACAAAUGGAAGAUCCAAGGUCCAGGAUUCAAGGAAGACUUCUAUAUAUGAAUUAAGGGAGGCUGAGAAAUAUGGUCAGAAACGUGAAUGCUUGAUUAUGUUGAAAAUUAUUUUUCUCUUUCAUCUUUUCAAUAGCCUCCAAGAAAAGGAUCUUUAUGAGAAUUAGCAAUUAUUGACUCUACUGGUGAAAAAAUGUUUAUGCAUUAUGAAUGAUGAAAAUUGCAGUUAGGGAAUAUUGAUCCUCUUUAAAACCUCUACUUGAAAAACCUUUCCCCAAACAGAAAUGGCAUUCAGUGUAUGCAGGACCUCAUAAGACUUUGAGAAAUUUUUAAUCUAAUGGGGAAAGUAGCAAAGUCAGUAGGUACACUAGGAAGAGCAGAUAAGACAAAUAAAUAUAUAACAAUGCCUUAUAUUGGUAAAGGUUUUGUAUUUUUCAUUUAUUUCACCUAACUAUUAAAAUAAGAUUUUAAGGCAGGGAAUAUAUUAACUUAAUUUCACAAAUGAAAAGAAAAAAAGCAUGAGACACAAUAAGAGACUUACCUAAAGUCACACAGCAAGUUAGGAGCUGGGCCAGGAUUUAAAUUAAACUCAUUUCAACGUAAUGUGAUGAAUGUGCACAUUAGCAAUGAUAGCAGACCUUGUAGCAUAGAUGGAGAAUGAGCUAUUCUGAGUCAUUACUAGAUACUAAUAGA